UACGGAGGGUGCAAGCGUUGUCCGGAAUCAUUGGGUGUAAAGGGUGCGUAGGCGGGCGUCUAAGUCUGGGGUGAAAUCUUGCCGCUUAACGGUAAAAUGGCCUUGGAUACUGGACGUCUUGAGUGUAGAAGAGGUAGGUGGAAUUCGUAGUGUAGCGGUGAAAUGCAUAGAUAUUACGAAGAACAUCAGUGGCGAAGGCGGCCUGCUGGUCUACAACUGACGCUGAGGCACGAAAGCGUGGGGAGCGAACAGG
rnacentral:rRNA from 1 species